UACGGAGGGUGCAAGCGUUAAUCGGAAUUACUGGGCGUAAAGCGUGCGCAGGCGGUUUGUUAAGUCUGUUGUGAAAUCCCCGAGUUCAACUUGGGAAUUGCAAUGGAUACUGGCAGGCUGGAGUAUGGUAGAGGAAGGUGGAAUUCCCGGUGUAGCAGUGAAAUGCGUAGAGAUCGGGAGGAACACCAGUGGCGAAGGCGGCCUUCUGGACCAAUACGUGACGCUCACUGAGACGGAAAGCGUGGGGAGCAAACAGG
rnacentral:rRNA from 1 species